rnacentral:rRNA from 1 species
AGGACGAACGCUGGCGGCGUGCUUAACACAUGCAAGUCGAACGAGGUCGAUCUGGUGGCAACACCGGUGAAAACCUAGUGGCGAACGGGUGAGUAACACGUGAGCAACCUGCCCCGAAGACCGGGAUAACAGCGGGAAACCGCUGCUAAUACCGGAUGUCCCCGCCGGGCCCCAUGGCCCGGUGAGGAAAUGGAUUCCGCUUCGGGAGGGGCUCGCGGCCUAUCAGCUUGUUGGUGGGGUAACGGCCUACCAAGGCGACGACGGGUAGCUGGUCUGAGAGGACGAUCAGCCACACUGGGACUGAGACACGGCCCAGACUCCUACGGGAGGCAGCAGUGGGGAAUAUUGCGCAAUGGGCGAAAGCCUGACGCAGCAACGCCGCGUGAGGGAUGAAGGCCUUCGGUUGUAAACCUCUUUCAAGCAGGGACGAUAAUGACGGUACCUGCAGAAGAAGCUCCGGCCAACUACGCGCCAGCAGCCGCGGUAA